rnacentral:lncRNA from 1 species
AUUAGCGAUAUUUUGGAGAUCCAAAACCUUAGCUUGUGCAUGGUCCAAACUUCACUGAGCACUCAAGUAUAAAUAAGUCUUACAACUCCCUAACGGAAAACUUAAUGACUUCAACUUAAAUUGCAUGCUAACCUACAAAUUGGGCUACUUAGUAAUUAAAACCUUGUGUGCUUUUGAAAUUCUUAUCAGUUAUGUACUUGAAAUUAGACUUUCAUUUCAUAAAAUAAAUUUUAUUUUGGGAUUGAAGUUUGUGGGUAACUUCACUGCAAACCCUCACGAGACAACACUCGUCCACUAGGGUAACCUAGGGGUUUAAAGGCUUGUUGCACGUGCUAAGUGCAAUCGUAAUGCUCUACGAAAAUGAGUAUUUAUCUUA